rnacentral:rRNA from 1 species
CAGCCGCCGCGGUAAUACCGGCGGCCCGAGUGGCGGUCACUAUUAUUGGGCUUAAAGCGUCCGUAGCCGGGUUGGGAAGUCCUCCGGGAAAUCUGGCCGCUUAACGGUCAGAAUGCCGGAGGAUACUCCCAGCCUAGGGAGCGGGAGAGGCCGAGGGUAUUCCCGGAGGAGGGGUGAAAUCCUAUAAUCCCGGGAGGACCACCUGUGGCGAAGGCGCUCGGCUGGAACGCGUCCGACGGUGAGGGACGAAGGCCAGGGGAGCAAACCGGAUUAGAUACCCGGGUAGUCCUGGCUGUAAACGAUGCGGACGUUGUGUCGGACAAGCUAUGAGCUUGUCCGGUGCCGGAGGGAAACCGUUAAGUCCGCCGCCUGGGGAGUACGGCCGCAAGGCUGAAACUUAAAGGAAUUGGCGGG